UACGUAGGGUGCGAGCGUUAAUCGGAAUUACUGGGCGUAAAGCGUGCGCAGGCGGUUUUGUAAGACAGACGUGAAAUCCCCGGGCUUAACCUGAGAACUGCGUUUGUGACUGCAAGGCUAGAGUAUGGCAGAGGGGGGUAGAAUUCCACGUGUAGCAGUGAAAUGCGUAGAGAUGUGGAGGAAUACCGAUGGCGAAGGCAGCCCCCUGGGUCAAUACUGACGCUCAUGCACGAAAGCGU
rnacentral:rRNA from 1 species